GGCUGGUCUGAUGGCAGUGCUGUUUGUAGUUAAUUGAUCACAGUCACUUACAGAUUUCUUUGUUCUUGAUCCACACCCGCUGCUGCAUUUGACUGGUCUUAA
rnacentral:Y_RNA from 1 species